rfam:Myotis brandtii contig154583, whole genome shotgun sequence.
GGCCGUUCUUGGGUGAUGCACCCUGGAAUAAGGCUCCCUCUUCUCUGAGUCUGGGUGCAUCACCUGAGAACCACA